GGAGUCUGGGCCGUGUCUCAGUCCCAAUGUGGCCGGUCAACCUCUCAGUUCGGCUACUGAUCGUCGCCUUGGUGGGCCGUUACCUCACCAACAAGCUAAUCAGACGCGGGUCCAUCUCACACCACCGGAGUUUUUACCCCUGUACCAUGCGGUACUGUGGUCUUAUGCGGUAUUAACAGUCGUUUCCAACUGUUAUCCCCCUGUGUGAGGCAGGUUACCCACGCGUUACUCACCCGUCCGCCACUAAGUAUUAAGAAAUCCAUCCGAAAACUUCAUUCUCAAUACUCCGUUCGACUUGCAUGUGUUAAGCACGCCGCCAGCGUUCAUC
rnacentral:rRNA from 1 species